GACGAACGCUGGCGGCGUGCUUAACACAUGCAAGUCGAACGAGAUCCAUGGUGUAGCAAUACACCGGAAGAUCUAGUGGCGAACGGGUGAGGAUCACGUGAGAAACCUGCCCCAGACUUUGGGAUAACAAGUGGAAACGCUUGCUAAUACCGAAUGACGUCGGAGAACCGCAUGGUUCACUGACGAAAGGAAUUCCGGUUUGGGAGGGUCUCGCGGCCUAUCAGCUUGUUGGUGGGGUAAUGGCCUACCA
rnacentral:rRNA from 1 species